CACAGUUUCCAACAUUACCCAUAAUCUAAUAUCUUCUACAAAGAUACUAGCAUGAUGCAAUGCUCUUAACCUGUAUAAAUCUUAACAUUUUGAUAAACCUAGUAACUCAGUGAGAAUGUCUAAAGCUAAUCCUUUUUUCAACGCAUCUCAAAUAAGAAGGAAAAUCUUGGAUCGGUAUGGCAUACAACUGUCAGUGAGAACUAUUAGGCGAAGAUUAAAUGAGGCCAACCUUCAAGGAUUUAUUGCUAAGAGGUUUAUGCAUGGUAAUGACCCAAAACAUUCAUCCCGGCUGACAAGAACCUUAAAGAUUAUGUGGUGGAUGUUUUGAAGUAGCCACCUCAAAGUCCCGACCUGAAUCUUAUCCAGAACCUCUGGGAUCGAGUAAAACGGGAUCUUUAAGGUCGAAAUCCCUCAAACAUAGAAGAAUUGUGGAUGAAUGUAAAAGAAGUUUACUCCUGUAUUCCAAAUAGCUAUUGCCAAGCCUUAGUAGAAUCUAUGCCUUUCAGAUUGCAAGCCGCGAUUAAAAAUAUUUUUCUAUAAGUUUGUUAUUUUUAUUUAAGGAACAUUAAUUUCUGGUUAAAAUAAACUAUGAUUAGAAACUGUA